UGGGGAAUUUUGGACAAUGGGGGCAACCCUGAUCCAGCAAUGCCGCGUGUUUGAAGAAGGCCUUCGGGUUGUAAAGCACUUUUUUCCGGGAAGAAAUCGCACUUGAUAAUACCGGGUGUGGAUGACGGUACCGGAAGAAUAAGGACCGGCUAACUACGUCCCAGCAGCCGCGUUAAUACGUAGGGUCCAAGCGUUAACCGGAAUUACUGGGCGUAAAGCGUGCCCAGGCGGUUGUGCAAGACCGAUGUGAAAUCCCCGGGCUUAACCUGAGAAUUGCAUUGGUGACUGCACGGCUAGAGUGUGACAGAGGGGGGUAGAAUUCAACGUGUAGCAGUGAAAUGCGUAGAGAUGUGGAGGAAUACCGAUGGCGAAGGCAGCCCCCUGGGAUAACACUGACGCUCAUGCACGAAAGCGUGGGGAGCAAACAGG
rnacentral:rRNA from 1 species